UCCCUGAUGGCUCAGAUGGUAAAGCAUCUGCCUACAAUGCAGGAGACCCAGGUUCGAUCCCUGGGUUGGGAA
rnacentral:tRNA from 1 species